rnacentral:lncRNA from 1 species
AGGUGGGUAUCUUGUACCCCUAAUUCUACUGUCGGACACUUGUCCAUUUUUACCUCUCGUCUCACUUUUUCUUUUCUUUCGAGGUUCCGGGCACUUGCCCCUUUUUAUUUCCUCGUAUCUCUUUUUUUUAGAGCACUCAUCUCUUGAGAUAAUAUAGCAAGUGGUAGUAACAAGAUAACUUGAGCAUUUAUUUCCUAGGGGAAAAACAUAAAUAUUUUUGGCCAUUCUCUCCCGGAUUAGGAGUAGAAUGUUUUUGGGUGGUUCUAGAGAUGGAAAUGAGUGGAUAUAUGUGGAUGGUACUUCCGGAGUAGAAGCAGCAUAUGUGAGUGAACGUGCAAGUGAAUCUUGAUUUUAACCACAUGACAAGCUCCUAAGGGUCUACACAGCUUGACCACACUCAAUGCUCAUAAGUAGUAAAGUAAAUGUGUAGCUCAAAGUCUAGCAAGCAUGUAUAUAUGGCUGUGGUAGGAAUUUAAACUCUCAUCAUACAGGAACUCAUCAUGCAAUAUUUUAAAGAUUUUCAAAGAUAAAAUUCUCUAGAAUUCUAGCAUCUCUAGGAACAGAUAAACAGCAGCUCAACCUUACUAUAUCGUAUCCGUUAACAACUUAGACUUC